AAAUUAUAAAUCUUUGGAUAGCCAGAAAAUGGUCCGCAAUACCACGAAGGCUCGACCCAGACUAUAGCGUAACCGACCGAUAAGUAUGCGACACUAACGGAACGAUUCACAAAUAGCGCGCUUUACUUGUUGGAUAAGAAUUGGAAAAGUGUAACAUGGUUCCCGCAAAUGAUGGAUUUUAUUUCAAUAACCUGGAAGCUCUGAAAACUACUUCGUGAGCUAUCUUGAAGUCGCCGUAUUGCGGAAAUUGCUUCUCCAGAUCCCAGCACCAGCAGUUAUUCAUAAAUCGCACGAAAACAGCGCGAAAGAAAUCCAUACUGAGAGUGGCUAAUAUCUGAGCUUGGCGAGUUCUUGCCCGAACAUAGUUUCCCAGCAUGACCGACGCAGCUUUCUGCGUGUCUUCGGGUCUAGCUGUUCCAAAGACUUAGCUGAAAACAUAAACACAUUCACCUACAGUCAAAAACUGGAAAUAAAUGGUUUAUUCGAUUCUGAAGUGGGAAUGCCACUUUCCGGAAUAUACGUUGCAAUUGUUGUGGCCUCUUCCAUCGCAGACGUAACACUCACCUUUCUAUCAGAUGAUGCCUGGCUGUCUGAAGACGAUGGAGGAACUAUUAUUCUUUCGGUAAAAUUAUGAAAAUCGAUAGUUGUCGUUGAACACGCGACAUAUAAUAGAUUAUUGUCAACUCAAUUUCAGUUACAAUCAUUACUUAAUUAUGUUUAGCUUUAAAUAAUUAUACGUAGGUACAUUCCUGACAUUUCAAGAAAAUUGAAACUCUUUCAAACAAUUAUAUCAGUUAAUAAUAAUAUAGUUGUUGUAAUAAACACGAGUGAUUUUAUUGAUUAUUAAUUGGGUGUAAAGUAUAGACGCAAAAAAGUGCA